GGCUGGUCCAAAGGUAUUGAGUUAUCUCAAUUGAUUCUUCACAGUUAGUUAUAAAUUCCUAUUCUCCUCUCUCCUCUCUCUCCCCACUGCACUCGACUAGUCUUAA
ensembl:misc_RNA Y_RNA Y RNA